rnacentral:pre_miRNA from 1 species
GGGAGCUCCGGCUCUUGGGCUGUGUCUCCGGCGCCCUGGGCUCCCGGAACUGCACUGCUGGAAUCGCGCUCCCGGGCCGCGCAGCUCCC